AGCUUUAAUAUACUUGGACGGAAAAUGGGCGGUUGCUUUCUCUUUCUGAUAAUCAAUAAAUAACUGUAAAAGGCAUGUAAGAUGAAGCCUGUUCAGAAAACGCACGAUUUGACAGCUAUUGAAAGAAGUGGAAAUAAUGCUUUUUAUAUGUAAUGUCCGAAAAUAAUUUUAGUUGCCACCCGUUUUUACGAACUUGCUAGUCUUGAAAAAUAUUGGAUCAAGAGCUAAACUUAAUUUCGCCCAUGGAAUCAUUCAUAUAAUGCGAUACAAUCUUCAUAUUAGAUUAUAUGCCAAAAUGAGCAUGGCUACUAAAUAAUUUGUUGAAAUGUUGAUGGUAUUGAUGUGCAUUACACGCUAAAACUUAAAUUUUUAUUGUAUUGAAUAGUGUCACUGUGUCACUGUUGGAAUGUUCCGUGUUGAACAUGAUAUUACACUGUGUCUUCUAUGUCACUUGCUGGAAAGCAUCCACAAUUAAUUACACUGUUUAAUGAAAUCUAUAUUGAGCAUUUUAUCAAUAAAAGAUAUUUAUAUU